rnacentral:tRNA from 1 species
GAGGGUAUAGCUCAGUGGUAGAGCGCAUGCUUAGCAUGUGGGAGGUCCUGGGUUCAAUCCCCAGUCCCACCA